CUAUCUUUACACCCCAUGAUUUACCCCUUGCAGUGUACUUAUUACACUGUAUUGGAAUCGCUUCUUUUCUCUUUCUCUGUGAAUUUCUUGAGAGCACAGACUACAUUCUGCUUAACUUUUUAUCCCCAGCUUUCAGCACAGUGCCUGGCUGCUUUGGCGUCUCCAAGUACCUGACCUCAGCUCAACCUGUCUUGGGUUUUCUUCUCCUCCCUGACAUUGACAACCCAGCCCUCCUAGGCACAGAGAGAUGGAGCUGAGUGUGGUUUUCCUGAAAUAAAGCUUGCAUUAUGAGAGGGAAUAAACAGAAGAAAAAAAUAGGAAAUUGACCAUUGCUUCCAGACAUGUGUGGGAGUCCAGAACAUGCCACUCCAAAAGGAGGAUUGUCGAGCUGAAGACAAUUAAGAAGAAACAGAUGCAGGAAAGCUCUCUGCCCUCCAUUUGCUUAAAUGCAGGACAGAGAUUUACAAGAUAAAAGACAUCCUGCCCCUGUCUUUUACCAGGGAGAACAAAGGUUAACCACUGAAGACAGUUUUAGACCAUUAUCUGCCAGGAGUAGGAGCCAGAGGAAUCUACCUGAACAUGCUUUACCAACUCGCUUUUAUCUGCCGGUUACUUGCUUCCCCGCAGAGAAGUCCCCUCUAGAGACCCAAAGUCCUUUUCCUUUGUCCUGUCACUUCUCUAAAAAUCACUAUUCUUUGUUGAAGAUGCUAUACAAGCUGGAAUUCAAAGCUAUUUCUUUGAGAACUACUCCUUCCCUGGGUGUCUGCCAUGAGAACUACUCCUUUCCUGGGUGUCUGCCAUGUAGAUGUGAAAUAUACAUGUAAAUAAACUUGUUUUUCUCGUGUG
ensembl:lncRNA novel transcript, antisense to C7orf33 and CNTNAP2